GACCCCAUACUUAAAUGUGUAGUGGUAAGGAGCUGGGCUCCUAACCCAAAGGUUGCUGGUUCAAUUCCCAGCUGGGGCA